AUUGAACGCUGGCGGCAGGCCUAACACAUGCAAGUCGAAUGGUAACAGGAAACAGCUUGCUGUUUCGCUGACGAGUGGCGGACGGGUGAGUAAUGUCUGGGAAACUGCCUGAUGGAGGGGGAUAACUACUGGAAACGGUAGUUAAUACCGCAUAACGUCGCAAGACCAAAGAGGGGGACCUUCGGGCCUCUUGCCAUCAGAUGUGCCCAGAUGGGAUUAGCUAGUAGGUGGGGUAACGGCUCACCUAGGCGACGAUCCCUAGCUGGUCUGAGAGGAUGACCAGCCACGCUGGAACUGAGACACGGUCCAGACUCCUACGGGAGGCAGCAGUGGGGAAUAUUGCACAAUGGGCGCAAGCCUGAUGCAGCCAUGCCGCGUGUAUGAAGAAGGCCUUCGGGUUGUAAAGUACUUUCAGCGGGGAGGAAGGGAGUAAAGUUAAUACCUUUGCUCAUUGACGUUACCCGCAGAAGAAGCACCGGCUAACUCCGUG
rnacentral:rRNA from 1 species